rnacentral:rRNA from 1 species
ACUCCUACGGGAGGCAGCAGUGGGGAAUAUUGCACAAUGGGGGAAACCCUGAUGCAGCCAUGCCGCGUGUGUGAAGAAGGCCUUCGGGUUGUAAAGCACUUUCAGCGAGGAGGAAAGGUGGUUGGCUAAUACCCAAUCGCUGUGACGUAC